CUCUGCACUGCUGUUUAACCGGCGGAAUGAAGUCUGAGCGCAUUAAAUGAAUCAUAGUUCGCUCAAUACUACGUAAUUUUCUUCUCUGCAAACGCCAUUCAAAGAGGCAUGAUAGAGGCCAUAUUUUUUUUUGGCGUUUUCAAAUACUCAGAAUGAAUAAAAUGAUAUUUUAGAACAUGGCAGCAGUGGCUGUAUUAUAGUAUAACAAUUAAUCAAGGAUAUAUUUAGGUUUAGAGCUAGGUUCCUGCUAUGUCUCAAUAAUUAUUAAUAACUGGCGGUUUUAAUAGGCCAAUAUAUAUUGAUUUGAUUAUAAAUUUUUAUAUAGUUUAAUUUUAUUUAUCCAUUUGUAGACACACACAAAUAAUGUCAUAUAGAAGCACUAUUUUAAUAACUGGAAAAUACACACAAAUAUAUAGCCUACAUAUCAAAAAUAUUUAAACACAAGAACAGCAUGACAGGACAGCAUCUAAACUACAUAUCAAUUUGCUUGUUGGCUACACAGCACAGAGGAAUCACUUGCUGCGAAUUUCUCCCUCUAACAGCAAUCUCCCACUUCUUCCUCAAGUUUUUGUCCUUAGGAAAUCUUCAAAAUGAAACAGGAGAUCACCACAAAGAAAUCUUUAAUAAAACAGAUAAUAAAACAGAGCUCACUUUCUUCCUUUUUCUUUCUAUUUUAUUUCUUAACGUUUCUUAGAACCUCUCUCAAACAAAAGUUUUUCAAUCUAAUGCAAAUCUGUUGAUAAUCGACCAAAGUUGCUAUUAUUGUGAAUAAGCUAGCUGUUCGCAAAUGCUGUUUCCUUUUUGGAGUUCACCGAUAGUCUUCCUCUUUGGCCUACAAAUGACUCUACAGUCAAGUGUAAUGUUUAAAAAACGUUUAAUCAUAACUGUGAAAAGUUAUUUCUUGAGCCCUGUUCUCUGCUGUCCGCCUGUUGGCACAGGAAUACGCCGCACAGUGCUCCGGCAUCGCUGAAUGAAUGAAUGAAUGAAUAUGAUUGACCGGAGCGUAUGGGAAGCUUGACCUGACCAAGAUGGCGGCCGCAUUUCUCGCUGCGCAGCACCCCCAGCGGGGUCUACCCCUUUUAUUAUGUCUAUGAUCUAGAUCAUAGACAUAAUAAAAGAUAGACCCCGCAUCGGCCGCUACCACGAAUGGGCGCUGUCGAGAAAUGCGGCCGCCAUCUUGGUCCGGUCAUCCGCCUCACUCUGCACCGCUGUUUAACCGGCGGAAUGAAGUCUGAGCGCAUUAAAUGAAUCAUAGUUCGCUCAAUACUACGUAAUUUUCUUCUCUGCAAACGCCAUUCAAAGAGGCAUAAUAGAGGCUUUAUUUUUUUUGGCGUUUUCAAAUACUCAGAAUGAAUAAAAUGAUAUUUUAGAACAUGGCAGCAGUGGCUGUAUUAUAGUAUAACAAUUAAUCAAGGAUAUAUCUAGGUUUAGAGCUAGGUUCCUGCUAUGUCUCAAUAAUUAUUAAUAACUGGCGGUUUUAAUAGGC